AGAGAAUAGCCUUUAGCUACCGAAGGGAGACACACGGAAGCAGGGAAGGGGGAGAGCAGUAGUAGCCGGAGGAAUACGCUCGCGGCAGGUCAUGAGAAAGAGUAUCAGCUUUGGAAUCAGGAAGAAUUGGAUUUCAGUCUCAACUCUCCCUGUGUUACUUUGGAUAAUUACUUAAGAGAUCUCUUCCUCCAGUUUUGUGGAAGGAGUAUGACUGGAGAGCUGAGCUGGGUAUGACUGGAGAAGGGCUCUGCUGAAGACCAGAGAUCUCCGUGCCAUCUCCAUGCACUGUGGGAGGAAACUUCUGGAAGGACAGGGAAGGGACCGGGCAGCUGAGGUAGGGAGAGAAACUUGGAAGUGCACAAGAGUUCAAAUAGGAGUUUUAGCAAGUUUUUCUGUGUGAUAAGGAAUAUCAACAGUGUUUUUGCAAUUAAAUAAGCUUUUCUGACAUCUGAGAAAAUGAUCUCAAGGUAAAGCAAGAAUAAAACGGUCUGGGCGUUUGAGUUACAA